rnacentral:rRNA from 1 species
UAGGGAAUCUUCCGCAAUGGGCGAAAGCUUGACGGAGCAACGCCGCGUGAGUGAUGAAGGUCUUCGGAGCGUAAAACUCUGUUAUUAGGGAAGAACAAAUGUGUAAGUAACUAUGCACGUCUUGACGGUACCUAAUCAGAAAGCCACGGCUAACUACGUGCCAGCAGCCGCGGUAAUACGUAGGUGGCAAGCGUUAUCCGGAAUUAUUGGGCGUAAAGCGCGCGUAGGCGGUUUUUUAAGUCUGAUGUGAAAGCCCACGGCUCAACCGUGGAGGGUCAUUGGAAACUGGAAAACUUGAGUGCAGAAGAGGAAAGUGGAAUUCCAUGUGUAGCGGUGAAAUGCGCAGAGAUAUGGAGGAACACCAGUGGCGAAGGCGACUUUCUGGUCUGUAACUGACGCUGAUGUGCGAAAGCGUGGGGAUCAAACAGG